rnacentral:rRNA from 1 species
CCAGACUCCUACGGGAGGCAGCAGUAGGGAAUCUUUCACAAUGGGCGAAAGCCUGAUGGAGCAACGCCGCGUGCAGGAUGAAGGCCUUCGGGUUGUAAACUGCUUUUAUAAGCGAGAAAUAUGAUGGUAACUUAUGAAUAAGGGUCGGCUAACUACGUGCCAGCAGCCGCGGUAAUACGUAGGGGGCAAGCGUUAUCCGGAAUUACUGGGUGUAAAGGGAGCGUAGACGGUUAAGUAAGUCUGGAGUGAAAGGCCGGGGCCCAACCCCGGGACUGCUCUGGAAACUAUUUAACUUGAGUGCAGGAGAGGUAAGCGGAAUUCCUAGUGUAGCGGUGAAAUGCGUAGAUAUUAGGAGGAACACCAGUGGCGAAGGCGGCUUACUGGACUGUAACUGACGUUGAGGCUCGAAAGCGUGGGGAGCAAACAGGAUUAGAUACCCCCGUA